UCCACCUGUAAUCAUGUAUACAUGAAUCAUAACCAGGAAGUGAAAAAAAAAAUAAUUCCCUCCAAAUAAUGAAAUGAAUACCACAAGAGGUAAUAUAUGGCUGUAAGUCAAAAAUUCUGAUGGAUACACAGUUCAGCUGAUCCAAAGUACGACCACAGAAAGCUUCGAAUAUUUAAUUCUUUAAUUAUACAUGAAGAAUGUUUAGUUAUGGACUUCUAUAGACAUUUCUGUGGUUGCAGCUGACAGGUUAUAUCUACAUGCAAAUAAUAACAGAUAACUAUUGGAAUCAAUUGAUCAAGUCAUGCAGCAAGAAGGGAUGGGGAUUAAGCAGAAUGUAGCCAGUACAAUUAGACUGUGUUCUGGUGAACAGAGAAUCAAAAUUUGGAGUGGGCUAGUGAAAAUUAGCACAAAACUAUCGAUUUAUGUAUAUGUUUCUUAUAUGUGUUUGCCACCAUGUUAUCAUGAUUAAAACGUGCUUUAUUGGUUGA